UGAGACUGUGAUGUGGUCUUCCAACUGCACGAUCUUUGGAGAAGAAAGAAGAACAGGCCCCAUUUUAGAUGAAUGUAUAAGCUCAAAACCUCCAUCAGUGCCUCUGGAUAAUUAGAGCUGACCUACUAAGGCCUUUCGAGCUCUUAAAUGUUAACUACUGGACCAAGGAAAAGAUAUGUGUGAG